GGACUUAAUAGUGUAGCUACUGCGCAUGCGCCAAAUCACCGGAAACAGGAAGCUCGAAGGCUGGAUAAAAGAUUGACGUCACAGACCCGUCUACCUGUUGUACCUACCUGUCUUAUCGCGUGGGUGGCAUACACACUACAAGGACAAAGUACUUGUUGAAUUCCAGCGCUUCAUUCAGUCCCAUUGCUGACAACUUGAAAAAAAUGGAUGAAUCUAAGGAGCUCUCUGAAUUUCAGCAUGGCACCGUAAUUGGAUGCCACCUUUGCAACAAGUCAGUCAGUGAAAUUUCUUCCCAGCUGAAAGUUCCAGAAUCAGCUGUAAAAGAGGUUAUUGCAAAGUGGAAGCUAUCUGGAUCCUUAACAGUACAGCCAAGAAACCAGGGAGCACGGAAAGCUGCAGGUGCUGAGGACGAAUAAUAGUCCGCUGACUCAGUUCUGAACUUCCUCUGGCUUUAACAUCAGCACCGACACCGCUUGGUUUCCAGGAACGAGCAGCAUGCAUGCAAGAGGACGAGCCGGCAUACAGCCGUUGCACACUUGUGCUAUGUAAGCUUUUUGUAACAAAAUGUUUGAUAUGAUUUAGGAAUUAAACCUAACACUUUACAUGUAAAGGUUGUAUUCAACUAAUGUCACGUCCGGCUCAUUAACUAUGCGAGACUGGAAGUGGUGGUCAAGCGAGCGUCUGUUGUUAAAGAAUUCUGGGCGGCAUUUUGCCUUUCUCCAAAAAAAAAAAUGGCCCAUGCUUGCGUUGUUUUAGGCUGUUGAAACCGUUCAAAUUGCGGAAAAAAUCAAAGUUUGUUUAGAGUUAAAACUUGAGAGGUGAGAAGGACGAAAGAGUGCAAGAUUUCAGUCCAAGGGAGCAGAGUGGGAGAACUUUCACGUUUGCAGUGAUCACUUUGUUUGAUGUACUUUAAACCUGCAGUAUUUCCCAUUGAAAUAUCAUCUUGAUAUUUUUUGUAAACGCCACAAGUGUUUCGUAACGCACCAACUCUGCAAGUCUGAAUAAAAGAAAGCAAACGUGAGCAAAA